rnacentral:misc_RNA from 1 species
AACUUUUAGCAACGGAUCUCUUGGCUCUCGCAUCGAUGAAGAACGCAGCGAAACGCGAAAUGUAAUGUGAAUUGCAGAAUUCAGUGAAUCAUCGAAUCUUUGAACGCAUCUUGCGCUCCUUGGUAUUCUGAGGAGCAUGCCUGUUUGAGUGUCAUUAAAUUCUCAACUACACUGACUUGGUGUGGCUUGGAUUUGGGGGUUGUGGGCUUUUUGUAGUCUGCUCCCCUGAAAUUAAUUAGCGAUACCUUGGUGGAACUGUCUACAGGUGUGAUAAUUAUCUACAUCCUAGACGUCUGCUGGAAUGCUGCUUUCUAGACCUUACUUGUAUUGACAAUCUUGACCUCAAAUCAGGUAGGACUACCUGCUGAACUUAAGCAUAUCAAUAAGCGGAGGCU